UGACGGACUUCUGAAAAGGACAGGAAUAUGUAUGUUUACUUACAAUGAUCCACCCUAAAGGGCAUCAAUCAGAAGUCACAUUGUAAUAAGAUCCAGAAGUGUGCUCAGAUCAGAGCAGGGUACAGCUAACAACCAUAUCCUUUUGAUAGCAGUGUGACUAAGAGUUUAAUUUGGGAGCAGCCAUCACUUCAAAGGGAGAUUUCAUCCUCAGGACACAUCAGGAAGUGGCUGUGAUGGGCAGGCAGUAAGCAGUCACAGAGGGAACACCACAACUUCUAGCCCAGUGACUGGCACGAGACAUCAAAAAGACAGAGGUUGUCACUGUUUUCUUCCCACUUCAAGCCACAAAUCUGCCUUGAUGCCCUCAACACUGGAUAAGCUUCACUGUAGGAUAUCAACUUCUAUAG